rnacentral:rRNA from 1 species
CCUACGGGGGGCUGCAGUGGGGAAUAUUGGACAAUGGGCGAAAGCCUGAUCCAGCCAUGCCGCGUGUGUGAAGAAGGCCUUCGGGUUGUAAAGCACUUUCAGUGGGGAAGAAAGCCUUGGGGCUAAUACCCUCGAGGAAGGACAUCACCCACAGAAGAAGCACCGGCUAACGCCGUGCCAGCAGCCGCGGUAAUACGGAGGGUGCGAGCGUUAAUCGGAAUUACUGGGCGUAAAGCGCGCGUAGGCGGUCUGAUAAGCCGGUUGUGAAAGCCCCGGGCUCAACCUGGGAACGGCAUCCGGAACUGUCAGGCUAGAGUGCAGGAGAGGAAGGUAGAAUUCCCGGUGUAGCGGUGAAAUGCGUAGAGAUCGGGAGGAAUACCAGUGGCGAAGGCGGCCUUCUGGACUGACACUGACGCUGAGGUGCGAAAGCGUGGGUAGCAAACAGGAUUAGAUACCCGAGUAGUC